rnacentral:rRNA from 1 species
UACGGGGGGGGCAAGCGUUGUUCGGAAUUACUGGGCGUAAAGGGCUCGUAGGCGGCCAACUAAGUCGGAUGUGAAAUCCCCAGGCUUAACCUGGGAACUGCAUCCGAUACUGGAUGGCUUGAAUCCGGGAGAGGGAUGCAGAAUUCCAGGUGUAGCGGUGAAAUGCGUAGAUAUCUGGAGGAAUACCGGUGGCGAAGGCGGCAUCCUGGACCGGCAUUGACGCUGAGGAGCGAAAGCUGAGGGGAGCAAACGGG